GCUCAUUACACCAGCCUUAAUUUACUUGACCUUGACAACCUACUUGGAUAACUGUGGUAAUUCUAGAGCUAAUACAUGCACCAAAGCUCCGAUCCCUUGCUGGAGAGGAGCGCAUUUGUUCGCCACAAAACCAAGCGCCCUCACGGGCGUUCAGUGUUGACUCAGAAUAACUAAGCUGAUCGCACGGUCUUGCACCGGCGACGUGUCUUUCAAGUGUCUGCCUUAUCAACUUUCGAUGGUAGUGUACCUGACUACCAUGGUGAUGACGGGUAACGGAGGAUAAGGGUUCGACUCCGGAGAAGGGGCCUGAGAAAUGGCCACUACGUCUAAGGAUGGCAGCAGGCGCGCAAAUUACCCACUCUCAAUUCGAGGAGGUAGUGACGAGAAAUAACGAGACCGUUCUCACAAGAGGCCGGUCAUCGGAAUGGGUACAAUCUAAACCCUUUAACGAGUAUCUAUGAGAGGGCAAGUCUGGUGCCAGCAGCCGCGGUAAUUCCAGCUCUCAAAAUGCAUAGAAUUAUUGCUGCGGUUAAAAAGCUCGUAGUUGGAUCUGUGCUGGCCGUCCGGUCUACCCACUGGGUACGUACUGGUAUGGUCGGCUUUCUGUCCGGUUUCUCCCGGCGUUGGCCUUCACCGGUCGGCGACGGUGGCUGGACAAGUUUACUUUGAACAAAUCAGAGUGCUUCAAACAGGCGUUUCGCUUGAAUGUUCGUGCAUGGAAUAAUAGAAGAGGAUUUCGGUCCGAUUUUAUUGGUUUUGCUGACCGAGAUAAUGGUUAACAGAGACAAACGGGGCCAUUCGUAUUGCUACGUGAGAGGUGAAAUU
rnacentral:rRNA from 1 species